rnacentral:tRNA from 2 species
GGUCCCAUCGUCUAGUGGUUAGGACGCUGGCCUCUCACGCCGGAAACCAGGGUUCAACUCCCUGUGGGACUACCA